rnacentral:rRNA from 1 species
UACAGAGGGUGCGAGCGUUAAUCGGAAUUACUGGGCGUAAAGCGCGCGUAGGCGGCUUUGCAAGUCGAUUGUGAAAUCCCCAGGCUUAACCUGGGAACUGCAUUCGAGACUGCAUAGCUAGAGUAUGGGAGAGGGAAGUGGAAUUCAGGUGUAGCGGUGAAAUGCGUAGAUAUCUGAAGGAACAUCAGUGGCGAAAGCGACUUCCUGGACCAAUACUGACGCUCAUGUGCGAAAGCGUGGGGAGCAAACAGG